AGAGUUUGAUCAUGGCUCAGAUUGAACGCUGGCGGAAUGCUUUACACAUGCAAGUCGAACGGCAGCACGGACUUCGGUCUGGUGGCGAGUGGCGAACGGGUGAGUAAUGUAUCGGAACGUGCCCAGUCGUGGGGGAUAACGUAGUGAAAUUACGCUAAUACCGCAUACAUCUAUGGAUGAAAGCGGGGGAUCGCAAGACCUCGCGCGAUUGGAGCGGCCGAUAUCAGAUUAGGUUAGUUGGUAGGGUAAAGGCCUACCAAGCCAACGAUCUGUAGCUGGUUCUGAGAGGACGGACCAGCCACACUGGAACUGAGACACGGUCCAGACUCCUACGGGAGGCAGCAGUGGGGAAUUUUGGACAAUGGGCGAAAGCCUGAUCCAGCCAUUCCGCGUGCAGGAUGAAGGCCCUCGGGUUGUAAACUGCUUUUGUACAGAACGAAAAGGUUUCUACUAAUACUAGGAGCUCAUGACGGUACUGUAAGAAUAAGCACCGGCUAACUACGUGCCAAGCAGCCGCGGUAAUACGUAGGGUGCAAGCGUUAAUCGGAAUUACUGGGCGUAAAGCGUGCGCAGGCGGGUUAUAUAAAGUCAGAUGUGAAAUCCCCGGGCUUCAACCUGGGGAACUGCAUUUGAAGACUGUAUGAACUAGAAGUCACGGCAAGAGGGAGGUGGAAUUCCGCGUGUAGCAGUGAAAUGCGCUAGAUAUUGCGGAGGAACACCCGAUGGCGAAGGCAGCCUCCUGGGCCAGUACUGACGCUCAUGCACGAAAGCGUGGGGAGCAAACAGGAUUAGAUACCCUGGUAGUCCACGCCCUAAACGAUGUCAACUAGUUGUUCGGUGAGGAGACUCAUUGAGUAACGCAGCUAACGCGUGAAGUUGACCGCCUGGGGAGUACGGCCGCAAGGUUAAAACUCAAAGGAAUAGACGG
rnacentral:rRNA from 1 species